UAGGGAAUCUUCGGCAAUGGACGAAAGUCUGACCGAGCAACGCCGCGUGAGUGAAGAAGGUUUUCGGAUCGUAAAACUCUGUUGUUAGAGAAGAACAAGGACGUUAGUAACUGAACGUCCCCUGACGGUAUCUAACCAGAAAGCCACGGCUAACUACGUGCCAGCAGCCGCGGUAAUACGUAGUUGGCAAGCGUUGUCCGGAUUUAUUGGGCGUAAUGCGAGCGCAGGCGGUUUCUUAAGUCUGAUGUGAAAGCCCCCGGAUCAACCGGGGAGGGUCAUUGGAAACUGGGAGACUUGAGUGCAGAAGAGGAGAGUGGAAUUCCGUGUGUAGCGGUGAAAUGCGUAGAUAUAUGGAGGAACACCAGUGGCGAAGGCGGCUCUCUGGUCUGUAACUGACGCUGAGGCACGAAAGCGUGGGGAACAAACAGG
rnacentral:rRNA from 1 species